rnacentral:rRNA from 1 species
UGCACCUACGGGACGCAGCAGUGGGGAAUCUUCCGCAAUGGGCGAAAGCCUGACGGAGCAACGCCGCGUGAUCGAAUGAAGGCCUUCGGGUUGUAAAGAUCUGUUGACAGGGACGAAUAAGCAAUGUGAAUAGUUUUGUGUAUGACGGUACCUGUUUAGAAAGCUCCGGCUAACUACGUGCCAGCAGCCGCGGCAAUACGUAGGGAGCAAGCGUUGUCCGGAAUUACUGGGCGUAAAGGGCGCGUAGGUGGGCGCUUAAGUCUGGUGU